CAUUCCCAAAGGUAAGGAGGCUGGGGGGGUUAAAUUAAAAAAAAAAAACACAAGUGAAUGUGUGUGUGUGUAUCUGUUAGUGUGUGUGUGUGUGUGUGUGUGUGUUAUCUGUUAGUGUGUGUGUGUGUGUGUGUAUCUGUUAGUGUGUGUGUGUGUGUUAGUGUGUGUGUGUCUGUUAGUGUUAGUGUGUGUAUGUUAGUGUUAGUGUGUGU